rnacentral:rRNA from 1 species
ACUCCUGCGGGAGGCAGCAGUAGGGAAUCUUCCACAAUGGGUGCAAACCUGAUGGAGCAAUGCCGCGUGAGUGAAGAAGGUCUUCGGAUCGUAAAGCUCUGUUGUUAGAGAAGAACACGUGCUAGGUAACUACUAGCGCCUUGACGGUAUCUAACCAGAAAGUCACGGCUAACUACGUGCCAGCAGCCGCGGUAAUACGUAGGUGACAAGCGUUGUCCGGAUUUAUUGGGCGUAAAGGGAGCGCAGGCGGUCUGUUUAGUCUAAUGUGAAAGCCCACGGCUUAACCGUGGAACGGCAUUGGAAACUGACAGACUUGAAUGUAGAAGAGGAAAAUGGAAUUCCAAGUGUAGCGGUGGAAUGCGUAGAUAUUUGGAGGAACACCAGUGGCGAAGGCGAUUUUCUGGUCUAACAUUGACGCUGAGGCUCGAAAGCGUGGGGAGCGAACAGGAUUAGAAACCCCGGUAGUCCCAUGA